GCCAGAUACUAUUGAAUAACAGAGAACCAAAGAUGAGGAGGACAGCCUCUGUCCCUAAUAAGGUCACAAUGUGAGGAGGGAAGCAGGUCCCAGCAGCAGCAGUGCUGCCCGGCUGUGCUGAAGAGACCAGCGCUGCUCCGAUGCCUCUGCUGCGUCAUCUUGUUCACCUGCCGCGCAGCCUCCAGGAACAAGCGCAUCCUCUGCCUCCAAGUUCUGCAGAUCAGCAGCGGACGUGGACACGCCCCCCUCAGAGCAUGACACAGAGAUGCUCGGUGAACUCUUGUCAUCUGAGUGGAGCUCGCACCUAGCUGCGCUCUAGGCAGAGCUACAUGUGUCCCACCAGAAAUAUUUAGACGGUCAAGCCCCUCUUCUUGAACAUGACGGGAAUGUUGAGCUUGGUGAUUAACUAUGAAGAAACAAAGAGGAAGUCUAGGAAAAUUUCAUGGGAAAGCGCUACUUUUGAAAAGGGGAGAGAGAAAAACAACUCUAACAACUAUCUUGGCACCAUUAACUACUAGUUAAAGUUGGAAAUUUGAUGGAGUUUAGUUUUCAUACUUGACAGAGACCCCUACUUACACAUAUAACCCCAGAACUACAGUCAUGCUGUGUGGUCUGAAUGUCCCCACAUGCUGUGUGCUGUCCUACUUCUAACUCCCUCCAGGGGAGCCACAAAGCCACCCUUAAAGUUUUACUCCUAUGGAAAAACACCAUUUUUUCAUAAUUACAGUUUUGAUUUCUGUGAGUGUGCAGCCUUGGAUAUGUUGAACCAAUUAAGUGAAACUGGUUAAAAGCCAAAGAAAAUGGAAUUUUGGCUAUUGCC